AGCCUGUGAAUGGAAUGGUUUUCUAAACAACUGAAAAUGACCAAAAUGGUAAAUCUGAGGAGUACCGAUAGAAUUCUUCGCGCUCAAGCUCGUCAAGCUCGGAGAUGAUGUAUGCAAGUGUCCGCUCAAUGCGAGUUCAAUUCUCACCAUGCUCAAUGGCGUUUACUCUUCUGUUGGUCACCUUGAUGACCUGAUCGAGCGUUAUGAACGACGUUUGCAGUGAUGCAAGCUCCACUAACAGAGUGACAGCUUUCUGAUAGUUCUUCUUUAGCUUGCCUAACUGCUGACCUCCUCUAGCCAAACCCGCCAACUCAUAUGUGUCACUACCAUCUUGGUAGCUCUCAAACACUGGCAAAUUUACUCCUAUAUACAGAACAAGGACCGAACUUUGAUCUGAGCCUUUGUGACAUUCUGCAGCACCACUUGGUUGAAGUCUCCUGUGGCAAAUUUGGCUUCAGCAAGUGAAAAGGCAGCCUCUUUCAUCACAUCUCCCAUCAAUAUCUUUAGUCUAAAUGAAAAGGCAAAGUUUAGAAUGGUAUGCAACUGUCAGAAUUUUUUCAAGUAACUACAUCAAUGAUUUUCUUCAAGAUUGAGCGAAAUCUCAUUUGAAGGGCAUCUGCCUUCUUUUUUAGAAGACCAUGACCUUUCUGUGCACCGGCAAGACGGUGUUUCAUCAGCGUUUGUGCUCUAAUUGUUUGAGGGAAAUAUUAAACCAUUAUGUAGCUUAUUUUAUUUCAUACUGCAACCAUAUUUUCUUCGGAAUGUAAACUUACCCUCGCGAUGGAAAAAUGGCAAUUUUGUCUUUUCCUGACAUUUUGGGGCGAAACAAGUGCAGGAUCUGAAUACAAACGAAUAUAAUUCGUAA